AUUGAACGCUGGCGGCAUGCCUUACACAUGCAAGUCGAACGGUAACAGGCCGCAAGGUGCUGACGAGUGGCGAACGGGUGAGUAAUGCAUCGGAACGUGCCCAGUCGUGGGGGAUAACUGCUCGAAAGAGCAGCUAAUACCGCAUACGACCUGAGGGUGAAAGCGGGGGACCGUAAGGCCUCGCGCGAUUGGAGCGGCCGAUGGCAGAUUAGCUAGUUGGUGGGGUAAAGGCCUACCAAGGCAACGAUCUGUAGUUGGUCUGAGAGGACGACCAGCCACAUUGGGACCGCGACACGGCCCAGACUCCUACGGGAGGCAGCAGUGGGGAAUCUUGCGCAAUGGGCGAAAGCCUGACGCAGCGACGCCGCGUGGGGGAGGAAGGUUUUCGGAUCGUAAACCCCUGUUGCCCGGGACGAAUCCCUGGUUUUGACCAGGUUGACGGUACCGGGUGAGGAAGCACCGGCUAACUCCGUGCCAGCAGCCGCAGUAAGAC
rnacentral:rRNA from 1 species